UACGUAGGGGGCAAGCGUUGUCCGGAUUUAUUGGGCGUAAAGAGCUCGUAGGCGGUUUCGUAAGUCGGGUGUGAAAACUCUGGGCUCAACCCAGAGACGCCACCCGAUACUGCGAUGACUAGAGUCUGGUAGGGGAUCGUGGAAUUCCUGGUGUAGCGGUGAAAUGCGCAGAUAUCAGGAGGAACACCAGCGGCGAAGGCGGCGAUCUGGGCCAGUACUGACGCUGAGGAGCGAAAGCUAGGGUAGCAAAUGGG
rnacentral:rRNA from 1 species